UACGGGGGGAGCAAGCGUUGUUCGGAUUUACUGGGCGUAAAGGGCGCGUAGGCGGCCAGCACAAGUCAGUUGUGAAAUCUCCGGGCUUAACUCGGAAAGGUCAACUGAUACUGUGCGGCUAGAGUGCAGAAGGGGCAACUGGAAUUCUCGGUGUAGCGGUGAAAUGCGUAGAUAUCGAGAGGAACACCUGCGGCGAAGGCGGGUUGCUGGGCUGACACUGACGCUGAUGCGCGAAAGCCAGGGGGAGCGAACGGG
rnacentral:rRNA from 1 species